rnacentral:rRNA from 1 species
GUUGUAUAGUCAAGUAAUUAAGUGCAUGUGGUGGAUGCCUUGGCAGUCAGAGGCGAUGAAAGACGUGAUAGCCUGCGAAAAGCUCCGGGGAGGCGGCAAAUAUCCUUUGAUCCGGAGAUGUCUGAAUGGGGGAACCCACCUACUUUAAGGUAGGUAUUGCAACAUGAAUACAUAGUGUUGCAAGGCGAACGAGGGGAAGUGAAACAUCUCAGUACCCUUAGGAAAAGAAAUCAAUUGAGAUUCCCUCAGUAGCGGCGAGCGAACGGGGAUCAGCCCAUUAAGUUAUGUGUGUUUUAGUGGAACGCUCUGGGAAGUGCGAACGUAGAGGGUGAUAUUCCCGUACACGAAAGGGCACACAUAAUGAUGACGAGUAGGGCGAGGCACGUGAAACCUUGUCUGAAUAUGGGGGGACCNNCNNCNANGNNNAANNNNNCNNNNNNNNCNNNNNNNNANCNGUACCGUGAGGGAAAGGCGAAAAGAACCCCUGUGAGGGGAGUGAAAUAGAUCCUGAAACCGCAUGCAUACAAGCAGUGGGAGCACCUUCGUGGUGUGACUGCGUACCUUUUGUAUAAUGGGUCAGCGACUUAUAUUCAGUAGCGAGGUUAACCGUAUAGGGGAGCCGUAGAGAAAUCGAGUCUUAAUAGGGCGUUUAGUUGCUGGGUAUAGACCCGAAACCAGGCGAUCUAUCCAUGAGCAGGUUGAAGGUUGGGUAACACUAACUGGAGGACCGAACCCACUGUCGUUGAAAAGCCAGGGGAUGACUUGUGGAUAGGGGUGAAAGGCUAAUCAAGCCUGGUGAUAGCUGGUUCUCCCCGAAAGCUAUUUAGGUAGCGCCUCGGACGAAUACCAUAGGGGGUAGAGCACUGUUUCGGCUAGGGGGUCAUCCCGACUUACCAAACCGAUGCAAACUCCGAAUACCUAUGAGUACUAUCCGGGAGACAGACUGCGGGUGCUAACGUCCGUAGUCAAGAGGAAAACAAUCCAGACCGCCAGCUAAGGCCCCAAAAUCAUAGUUAAGUGGGAAACGAUGUGGGAAGGCAUAGACAGCUAGGAGGUUGGCUUAGAAGCAGCCACCCUUUAAAGAAAGCGUAAUAGCUCACUAGUCGAGUCGGCCUGCGCGGAAGAUGUAACGGGGCUAAAACUAUGUGCCGAAGCUGCGGAUGUAUACUUUGUAUACGUGGUAGGGGAGCGUUCUGUAAGCCGAUGAAGGUGUGUUGAGAAGCAUGCUGGAGGUAUCAGAAGUGCGAAUGCUGACGUGAGUAACGACAAAACGGGUGAAAAACCCGUUCGCCGAAAGACCAAGGGUUCCAGUCCAACGUUAAUCGGGGCUGGGUGAGUCGACCCCUAAGGCGAGGCCGAAAGGCGUAGUCGAUGGGAAAAUGGUUAAUAUUCCAUUACUUCUGUGUAAUGCGAUGAGAGGACGGAGAAGGCUAAAUCAGCCUGGCGUUGGUUGUCCAGGUGAAAGGAUGUAGGCAUGUAUCUUAGGCAAAUCCGGGGUACUCUAUGCUGAGAUCUGAUAGCAAGCUGUACUUGUACAGCGAAGUGGUUGAUGCCAUGCUUCCAGGAAAAGUCUCUAAGCUUCAGUUACACAGGAAUCGUACCCGAAACCGACACAGGUGGUCAGGUCGAGUAGACCAAGGCGCUUGAGAGAACUCUGCUGAAGGAACUAGGCAAAAUGGUACCGUAACUUCGGGAGAAGGUACGCUGUUGUUGGUGAUGGAACUCGCUUCCUGAGCUGACGACAGCCGCAGAAACCAGGCCGCUGCAACUGUUUAUUAAAAACAUAGCACUCUGCAAACACGAAAGUGGACGUAUAGGGUGUGAUGCCUGCCCGGUGCUGGAAGGUUAAUUGAUGGGGUUAGCGUAAGCGAAGCUCUUGAUCGAAGCCCCAGUAAACGGCGGCCGUAACUAUAACGGUCCUAAGGUAGCGAAAUUCCUUGUCGGGUAAGUUCCGACCUGCACGAAUGGCAUAAUGAUGGCGGCGCUGUCUCCAGCAGAGGCUCAGUGAAAUCGAAAUCGCUGUGAAGAUGCAGUGUACCCGCGGCUAGACGGAAAGACCCCGUGAACCUUUACUGCAGCUUGACACUGAACUUUGACCUUACUUGUGUAGGAUAGGUGGGAGGCUUUGAAGCUGGAACGCUAGUUCCAGUGGAGCCGUCCUUGAAAUACCACCCUGGUAAUGUUGAGGUUCUAACUCUGUCCCGUGAUCCGGGACGAGGACCGUGUCUGGUGGGUAGUUUGACUGGGGCGGUCUCCUCCUAAAGAGUAACGGAGGAGUACGAAGGUGCGCUCAGCGUGGUCGGAAAUCACGCGUAGAGUAUAAAGGCAAAAGCGCGCUUAACUGCGAGACCCACAAGUCGAGCAGGUACGAAAGUAGGUCUUAGUGAUCCGGUGGUUCUGUAUGGAAGGGCCAUCGCUCAACGGAUAAAAGGUACUCUGGGGAUAACAGGCUGAUACCGCCCAAGAGUUCAUAUCGACGGCGGUGUUUGGCACCUCGAUGUCGGCUCAUCUCAUCCUGGGGCUGAAGCAGGUCCCAAGGGUAUGGCUGUUCGCCAUUUAAAGAGGUACGCGAGCUGGGUUUAGAACGUCGUGAGACAGUUCGGUCCCUAUCUACCGUGGGCGCUGGAAAUUUGAGAGGAUCUGCUCCUAGUACGAGAGGACCAGAGUGGACGAACCUCUGGUGUACCGGUUGUGACGCCAGUCGCAUCGCCGGGUAGCUAUGUUCGGAAGGGAUAACCGCUGAAAGCAUCUAAGCGGGAAGCCUACCUCAAGAUAAGAUUUCCCUAGGACUUUAUGUCCUCUAAAGAGCCGUUCGAGACUAGGACGUUGAUAGGUUGGAUGUGGAAGCAUAGUGAUAUGUGAAGCUGACCAAUACUAAUUGCUCGUGAGGCUUGACUAUACAACACCCAAGCAGUUG